rnacentral:misc_RNA from 1 species
GGCUUGUUUGGGUAUGUUGGAUCCCUGCUGGGGCAGCGACAAAGUCCUUUUCAUGCCUGUUCAUUGGAUGGUCGAAUCUCGCGUUCGGCCAUCUCGCGUUCGGUUCCCUGUGUUGCAUACCUGUUGCGACGGUAUCUUGUUGCCUARAAUGACCCCGUUUCACCCUACGUUGCGAGUAACGUCGCGGCCGAAGGUGAACCAAUAAGCAUUCAUCGUGUUCCACCCCGUUCACAUUACGUGUUGCGGGACUCGGCCCACGAUGGCGUGCUCGAGCUCUCGGAUGCGGAAUACAAAGUGGGUACGAGGAUGUCGAUCCUCCGUUUACCCCGAACAAGCGUUCUACGCUCUCGCGAACGACGUUCUUCCUCGUCGUGGGCUUCCGUCCACACGAGGUCGACGUCGCAGAGGAAUGCUACCUGGUUGAUCCUGCCAGUAGUCAUAU